CAGACAAUUGUGAAAUGCAGACGUAUAAUUCUAAGUUUACGUAAGAAAUUCAUGCGGAAAUUGGAAAGGUGAUCAAUGGUAGUGGAGGACCAGGGGUACUAUGCAAAUACACAUGCACUCCUCUAACAUGAAGAAAGCUAUAGCAUAACCCAGAUGGAAAGGACUUCAUGAAGAAUUUGCAAGAGCAUCCAAAAUCCCUUCUACAUGCAAAAUGCAAAGAAAAAUGGAUAAAAUCCGAAAGCUACAGCAGUUAUCAACUUACUUUUUUCUAAAUUUCAAUGUUACAGAGUUAUACAAAAAAUUUGUUCUAAAGAGGAAUUAUCAGGAAAAACAAUAACUAUCCUAAUACCUAAAUGUAUUGUAACUAUAACAAACGAUUUUAUGAUGAACAAACACGCAAAUAUAUGAGAACUGAUGACUCCUACUCCUUUGGUUCGGACUAAUUCUUUUUAUAAAUUUGUUAUAAAUGCGUGCAAUGUAUAAAAUUUAAAUAUAAUAA